ACACCUCUGUGGUGUUCGUGAGUGACCGGGUAGUACCCUUGAGCCUAGUUUUUUACCCGGGGAGCCGGUUUGCGGAGAACAUGCGCAUGUCCGCGCUUUGCGGAAAGCCUACGUUCGCUGCCGACGCUCCCACUUGAACCCCUGGUUCAAGGUCGAAGGUCACCACGGCACCUACGGAGCGUGU
rfam:Acidihalobacter prosperus strain DSM 5130 contig_06, whole genome shotgun sequence.